rnacentral:rRNA from 1 species
AUUGAACGCUGGUGGCAGGCUUAACACAUGCAAGUCGAGCGGUAACAGAGAGAAGCUUGCUUCUCUGCUGACGAGCGGCGGACGGGUGAGUAAUGCCUAGGAAUCUGCCUAGUAGUGGGGGAUAACUUGCCGAAAGGUAAGCUAAUACCGCAUACGUCCUACGGGAGAAAGGAGGGGACCUUCGGGCCUUUCGCUAUUAGAUGAGCCUAGGUCGGAUUAGUUAGUUGGUGAGGUAAUGGCUCACCAAGACCGCGAUCCGUAACUGGUCUGAGAGGAUGAUCAGUCACACUGGGACUGAGACACGGUCCAGACUCCUACGGGAGGCAGCAGUGGGGAAUAUUGGACAAUGGGGGGAACCCUGAUCCAGCCAUGCCGCGUGUGUGAAGAAGGUCUUAGGAUUGUAAAGCACUUUAAGUUGGGAGGAAGAGCAGUUAACUAAUAUUUGACUGUUUUGACGUUACCGACAGAAUAAGCACCGGCUAACUUCGUGCCAGCCGCCGCGGUAA